UACGAAGGGGGCUAGCGUUGCUCGGAAUCACUGGGCGUAAAGCGCACGUAGGCGGCUUUUUAAGUCAGGGGUGAAAUCCUGGAGCUCAACUCCAGAACUGCCUUUGAUACUGAGAAGCUUGAGUCCGGGAGAGGUGAGUGGAACUGCGAGUGUAGAGGUGAAAUUCGUAGAUAUUCGCAAGAACACCAGUGGCGAAGGCGGCUCACUGGCCCGGUACUGACGCUGAGGCACGAAAGCGUGGGGAGCAAACAGG
rnacentral:rRNA from 1 species